rnacentral:rRNA from 1 species
AGUGAACGCGGGCGGUAGGCCUAACACAUGCAAGUCGAACGGCAGCACAGUAAGAGCUUGCUCUUACGGGUGGCGAGUGGCGGACGGGUGAGGAAUACAUCGGAAUCUACUUUUUCGUGGGGGAUAACGUAGGGAAACUUACGCUAAUACCGCAUACGACCUACGGGUGAAAGCAGGGGAUCUUCGGACCUUGCGCGAUUGAAUGAGCCGAUGUCGGAUUAGCUAGUUGGCGGGGUAAAGGCCCACCAAGGCGACGAUCCGUAGCUGGUCUGAGAGGAUGAUCAGCCACACUGGAACUGAGACACGGUCCAGACUCCUACGGGAGGCAGCAGUGGGGAAUAUUGGACAAUGGGCGCAAGCCUGAUCCAGCCAUACCGCGUGGGUGAAGAAGGCCUUCGGGUUGUAAAGCCCUUUUGUUGGGAAAGAAAAGCAGCAGGUUAAUACCCCGCUGUUCUGACGGUACCCAAAGAAUAAGCACCGGCUAACUUCGUG